GCUUUUUCAGUAUAAAUUUGUACAACUGCCUUCCAAGCAGCAAGUUUGAUUUUCAAAAAAAGUA
rnacentral:tRNA from 1 species